CUUUCCUCUUUCUCGACAACUCCUCUAUUUUCUUUUCUACCAAACAAAAUAGAGCAACUACUUACUUUUCAAAAUGACUUUCACUUCACCUUUAGCCUUCUCCUUUAAAACGACCUACGAUGUUUUCCUUAGUUUUAGAGGACCUGAAACUCGUCCCAAUUUUACUAGUCAUCUUUAUACUGCUCUGUGCCGAAAAAAUAUUACAACAUUCAUAGAUGAUGUUCUUGAGAGAGGAGAAGAGAUCUC
rnacentral:misc_RNA from 1 species